AGCCUGGUCAAUGCUACAGAUGGUGGCCAAAGUGGCCUAGAACCCACCCACCUCCUUCCUGCUCCCACACCCUCAGCCUCCUCGCUGCAGGCUGGUGUCUUCAGGGCUCCGGCCAGGCUCGCCUCCAUCUUCACUCCAUACACUCUCCACAGGGGACCUCAAGCACACCUGGCUGUGCUUGCCUUUACCUUGAUCUGGAUGCAUCUACUCACCUGUUCCCCUAACAUCUCCACUUGAUGCCUCAAGUGCACCUCAAAACCUAAAGCAUGCAAAAUGAGCUCAUGACUUCUGAGCCUCCUCACUAACCCAGGCCCUUUCUUGGUGUCUCUAUUCAGCGAUGGUCCCAGCCCAUAACUUAAAUGCACAAGCCAGAAGCCUGGAGAUUCUCCUUGACAGGCCUGCCUCCCUCCCCCUCAGCCACCAAAUCCUGCUGCUUCAGUGUUUAACGUGAUCAGUUCCACCUGCUCACUUCUCUGCACAUCUGCCGCACAGCCUGAAUCACUUCUGAAAGUGGUAAACACAUGAGCUGACUUCACCUAACCCCCAUUCACCUCUCAACUCACCGCAGUCUAACUGCCACCCCACCUUGUCAGUGAACUUACUCUGUCACCAGGAACUGUCGGACAGUUGUUGCUGAAUGCCGUACUUGCCCACCCUGCUGCAUCUGACGCUGCUAAUCACAUCUAGAAACUAUGCCCCACAGCUUCGGGAGAGCCUGCUGAGGCCCUGGUCCUCGUCAAACCUCUCCGGGUGUUUCUUCUCUGUUGCCUCAAUGGACAACUUCUUUCGCUAAUGCCUACAUGUUGCUGUCCUCCUGGAUUCAUCCACUCCUCCUCUCUAUGGAGUUUCUCUGAAUACGUUUAUCAGCCUUCACACACAAAACCCUCAUCCUUCUCUUGAGCUUUAAAGUGUCCCACAGACACCUCAAACUAAACAAGGUCCACAGUGAACUCAUCAUCUUCCCUUCCCUUCCAUCUCACUCCUCAUCAUGAUGGUUCUUUCUCAGUUGGCACCACCACCAUUGACCUCAUCAACCAGGAUCCACAUCUAAGCGUCACUCUUGACUUCUUCCCUCCCGUACCUCUACAAACUGUCAGUCACCAGGGACUGCCAGUCUUCCCUCCUCAGUGAAGGUCUCCCUUGGUCCAUUUCCAGAGGCUGCUUCCAGUGAAGGUCUCCAUCAUCACUCACUCACUUAUUCCUUCACCUUCUCAACAAAUCUCUGUGAACUCCUACCACGUACUAGAUGCUUCAGUUCCUGUCAAGCUCACGUUUGUGAAGCAUGACAUCCUACAGGCAUCAGUGAUACAGAUCAGUGUGCCAAAUGUUACAAAGGGAUAAUUCAGAACAGCACAUGAGCACAAAAGAGAAGCAGCACAUCCAACUUUGAUUAGGGAAGGUUCCCACUCUGAGAAGUCAGCCUAGCCAAGUGUUUUAUGUGAGAGCCCAGAGGUGAGAGAACCUGGUUGAGUGGGGAGAAGUUCAAACAGGUCGGGAUGCUGGAGCAGAGAGGGAAAGGGCAGGAGCGUGCUGUUUUUAACUGUGCUCACUUUGCACAGGCAGCUGCACAGUCCAGGAAGGGUGUGAGGGGGACAAGGAGAGAUCACCCUGCCUGCUCCGAGGGUUUCAGAAAGGAGCUGGCAGGACCUCUGGGAGGGCAAUCCAAGGAACAGAGAAGACAGCCUCAAUGUUCUGAGGGAGAGGCUGGCACAAUAAAAAGCAGCCAGUCUUUAGACCUAACCAAGGAGGUAGAAUCUGCAGGACUUGGUAACUGGCUGGCUGCUGAGGGUAGGGGCUGUUAACCUAUGACCCACCGAGAAGGGGCGGCUGAAGCCUCUGUGGACAGGAAUACUGUAUUUCCUUAGGACACUGCCAUGCAUGCUUUUUGCUUGUGUACCAUUGAAAAGAAUUUUUAAAAUCCGCAACCUAUCGCACACUAUUAAGGUGACAUUUAAAUUUGUUUAUAGGGUCAAGCAGUUGCAAAGAACGUAAUCAUGGACACGUGCUGCACCUGCGUUUUAAAUACUAGAUUUGUAUCAAAGCUUUGGAUCUGCAGAUUUAGCUCGUUCCACUAAUGGAAAAUGUCCAUAACUAGUCAUCGCUCUUAAAGCUAUCUGCCAAAUUAGACUUGGUUUCCGGGAGAAGUCUGAGAACACUUUCGCGUUAUUCAGUUCACUUUUGAGCAAUCACAUGAAACCAUCUAACUCCUGACUUCUAAAUGGGGAAGACGUCGGAUUUCCUCGGAUGAAAUAAGAGGCUGCCACUUCAAUUUCCUUCCCGAAGCGCUCUAACGUCCUUUAACAUUACUCUCCGGCAAUAGGAAGACGAGACCCUCCUCUGAGCCGGUCUGCUUUCUUCCUGAGCAGACGACCAACAAUAAGCAAACGCGCGAACGUGUAUUUCUGCGUCUCCGCGUCCCCCAGGACCCGGCUGCGGCACAGGGAGACCCUCCGGUCGCCGGGCAGCGGCCGCGGCACCCCGGGGCCCUGCUCCCAGAGGGCGGCCCGUUUGUUGAUUCAUCUGGCAGCGGGCGAGCAAACGCUCCCCGCCACGGCCG
ensembl:lncRNA